AGAGAGUGUGGCCUGCUUCUCAGCGAGAUGUAUUAUAUCUUUCUGCCAUUCGAAAAAUACCAGCCUUGACUGAAAAUGACCCUGAAACUUGGAUAGUGUGUAAUUUUUCUGUGGAUCAUGACAGUGCUCCUCUAAACAAUCGAUGUGUCCGUGCCAAAAUAAAUAUUGCUAUGAUUUGUCAAACCUUGGUAAGCCCACCAGAGGGAAACCAGGAGAUCAGCAGGGACAACAUUCUAUGCAAGAUUACAUAUGUAGCUAAUGUGAACCCUGGAGGAUGGGCACCAGCCUCAGUAUUAAGGGCAGUGGCAAAGCGAGAGUAUCCGAAGUUUCUAAAACGUUUUACGUCUUAUGUCCAAGAAAAAACUGCAGGAAAACCCAUUCUGUUCUAGUGUUAACAG